GUUUGGAGGUGUGUAGUGAUGAACUCUGAAGCUACAUGAAGUUUGGAGGUGUGUAGUGAUGAACUCUGAAGCUACAUGAAGUUUGGAGGUGUGUAGUGAUGAACUCUGAAGCUACAUGAAGUUUGGAGGUGUGUAGUGAUGAACUCAGAAGCUACAUGAAGUUUGGAGGUGUGUAGUGAUGAACUCUGAAGCUACAUGAAGUUUGGAGGUGUGUAGUGAUGAACUCUGAAGCUACAUGAAGUUUGGAGGUGUGUAGUGAUGAACUCUGAAGCUACAUGAAGUUUGGAGGUGUGUAGUGAUGAACUCUGAAGCUACAUGAAGUUUGGAGGUGUGUAGUG